GAAAAGAAAAAAGCGUUGUUCCUUUCCUCCACUGCGCAGUCAAUCAAAAGAAAAUGAAAGAAAGAAAAAAAACAUAAAAAAAAAAGAAACAAAAAAAUAGAAAAUAAAAAAAAAGAAAAAAAUUGUUCCAUUCUCCCAGUACAAAAAAAAAAAAGGACAAAAAAAGAACAAGGAGAACAAAAUUGGAGAAGUUCGAUGUUGAAGUUAUUUUUGAAAAUGGUUCAAUUUUAUCAUGGGCCAACAAGCAAUAUUCCAUAAGGCAGUGUUAAAAAAUAAGCACCAACCAUAUGACAGAAGCACCACAUCAGAUCCGCAGUCCAAGGACACAGAAAUGUAAAGUCAAAAAACCAAUCCCAGGCACAUGGCAGAUUUUCGGGUCCAAGACCAGAGCAGCACGAAGUAAGUUCAAGACCUAUUUCGAGUUCCACAUGGCAGAUUCGGGGUUUAAGGCCCAGAUAUGUAAAGUAUCCAAAAACCCAAUCCAAGUGCCACGAACGCACAUUCGGGACCAGCCUAGCAACAUAUUAAAGCCCGAAACCCAUCUCAAGCCACAUUGCAAAUUUGGAUACAAAAAACCAACAUAACAAAUUCAUAAUAAAUAAACUUUCACACCAGAACCCAAUCCACAAACAAAAUUUCAAAAUCCAAGUCACAAAUAAGAUCCAAACCCAAAGUCCACAAAUAAAGAUCCAAACAAAACCCAAACAAAAAUCCAAAAAUCAAAGUCCACACAUAAAACCCAAUCCGGAAGUCUACAAAUAAACUCAAAAAUCCAAAUUCAAUGACCAGAAAAGUGUUAACACUAAACCCAAAAUUUCACACACGAAAAGAUCGCUUAACACUAAAACCCAACCCCAACACGACCGUAAAGCCGCUAAACUAAACCAAAUCCAACGACCGAAAGUCGCAUAAACCAACACCCAAAAUCAAACGACAAACAGUUCGUAAACUCUAACCCAAAUUCAAAACGACAAAAGUCCGUUAAACUAAACCAAAUCCAAAGACUGAUAAAGUCGUUAAACCAAACUUAAAACGAACCGUCUGUCAUAUAAACUGAACGCAAAUUAAAAUUUCAAGCGAACCGCCAUGUCAUUAACUGAGGCAAUUUGAUCCUAAUCGACCAUCAAGUCUAAUAAAUGGUUUAGUUUUAUAAAAUUUAUGUCAGUGGGGAUGCCCUGCUUAGGUCAAUGUACACCGACAAAUAUAAUUAUCAAAUGUUUACCUUUUGUGUAUUUGUCUCUUUUACUACAUACAGCAUGUAAUUUGAUUCUUAUAUCAAGGGCUUCCUUUACACACCGAAGUGAAUGGACAUUAACAUUUGUACGAUUCUUGAGUCAUGAUUCGGGAAGCCCAUGCAACUAUAUCCUGAUUCAACAAAAGAAAGUCUUAAGCAAACUCUAAUACUCUACCCCACAUGAUCUGACCACUCUAAAUAAGAAAUAACCAGACCGGGAGGUUUCGUUCACCGGCAGCAGCACUCACGUCCUCCGUAUAUCCUCCUCCUCNNNNNNNNNNNNNNNNNNNNNNNNNUUGCAAAGCUCAAUUCUCUUUUUCUCUUUUUUUGUUUCGUUUUUUUUUCUUUUUUUUAACCUCCGACAAUAUAUAUGGCCAUAGAGUUUAAUUCUCUUCCCUCUUUUUGUUUUAGACGUCUAUGGAGAGCGUUCAAGAAUGCUAUGCUUAUGUCGGAGUUCUUCCUUCUCUCACUCGUCCGCUUUUUGACUGCGGCCCAGAAAUUUUUUACGAAGGGGUUCCAUUGAACCAGUGGGUAGUUAUGCAUUCCUCUGUGAUGGCUAAUUUCACCCAAUGAUACUUUAUCGAUGCCGGAUCGAAUAAUGCCGUUUUACUACAACCCACGGGGAAUACAAGUGGUGUCACGCCCCGAGUCCGCCUAUUUGGUCGGUUUCGAGCACGCCAACAAACCGCCGAACGGACAGGGUUUUUCCUGUACCGCGGACAGAGUCUCUCCUGUACAUUCAAGGCGUCGCAAUUAAUACAAUAUACGAAGUUCCAACUAGGAACACAUUUCAACCAAAGAUUGCAUAAGAAAAUAUCAAAAAUAUAAAUCUACUUACUAUUACAAGCAAUCAUCACACAUUGUACAUUUUUACAUUCUUAGGUUACAUCAUAUUUGAUUCCUUUAUUCUACUUCCAAAUAUAAUCUAGUUUUAACAUAGUUAUUACAACAUUGUUCUUACAAUUAUCACACUCUUGGUUCUUUGCAUUUUAUACCCCUAAGAAGCCGACUCAGGGUGUUGCUAUCUGGUCUCAAUGAUAUGGCGCUAUCUAUGGAGCUAGGCCCUUGCCUCGCGCCGUCGCGCCGCUCACGUGUGAACCUGUAACACCCCAAAACAACGUGGGAUGACAACCAACUCCAUGAUUCCCAGUGGGUACGGCCACCCAAGGGAAGAGCUCGACCAUCAGGCCCAAAGGAGGCAAACAACAUGUUAGUCCAAUAGAUAGAUAUAAAAUCAUGCAACUAACAUUACCAUGCCUUUGCCUCACAACAUGCAAUAUGUCAAUAUGCAACUCAUAUAGUAGAUUAAUUGCUUCUACUCUUUAUUCUUAUCCAUUCUUUACUUUUAGUCAUUCUUUACUUUACUAGCUAUUCUUUAACAUUUGCCUUUCUUUAUUCUUUAUUACUUGCCAUUUUUUAGCACUAGCCUUUCCUUAUUCUUUAUUCUUAAUUCUUUACGCUUUACUAAGGGUACUUACACCUUAGUAAUAUUAUACACAUUAGCCUUUCUUUCCUAAGGUUACUUUACCUUAGCCAACUAUGCUAUCCGACUCGGUCUUGAGUCAAUCAACUGCGGAUAAUCUGCGCUCUGCCCAGCUCGAGGUGAAGGAACUCUCACAUGCACCUCAGCCUUCAAUCACAAACCACAUCACCCAACGGAUCGCCCAGAGCUGCGUAUAUCCAUGGUCAGGGAUCCCCCGUUGGGAGAGGAACAUGCCGCAUACACCCGCAGUCGAGAUCCCCGAUAGGGAGAGGAACAUGCCACAUGCACCCUGGCGCUCAUUAUUCUUGCUCAUUGACAAGCCUCGAAGUUCUUCUGGUGGGAGAGAAACGUGCCAUAUGCACCCGCGGCCAAGAACUAUCGAGCUUAUAUGCUGCACUAGCAGCUGCUGCACAAGCAGCAGGGAUUCCGGAAUCCACUUUACAUCUCUCAAGGGUUGGUCUCACCCUAUUGUAUCGACCUAUCUAGGUCCAAGCCUUUACUCAACCUAAGUUGAUACAUUAGGUUCAACGUCAUUAUCUUCUUAGCCUAGGUUCAUUAACACUAGGUCCAACAUUCUUUACCACCUAGGUUCAUUUGACUAUAGAUUCCAUGUCAUUAUGUUCACAAUCUAGGUUUACUUGACUCUAGGUUCAAUGCCACUCAUGUUCUCGUUUUCCUAGUUGUCCACACCUAAGAAUUAUACUUGACAUGCCACUCGUGAAUAACCUGUUGGCUUAAAUGGGCCAGCAUCCCUCCCUGUGGCGGGAGGCCAUGUGGGCCGAGUCAUGUUCGAAAUGGCGUGAGGCUAGGUUGGGCCGAGUCAUGUUCGAAAUGGCGUGAGGCCAGGUGGGCCGAGUCACAAUCGAGACCCGUGAGCGCUGUUUCUGUACGCUUUAAGUGAAUUGGUUGCGUAUUUCUAACAGCUCGAGCUUUUGGGAUUAAUGGUUAGCAGCCGAACGUCCGCAUCAAGUGGUAUCAGAGUCUACGACGUCACGGGUUCGAUUCCAUGCCAUGCUGCAAAUGUUGCCGGCUGGAGGGGAUUGUUGGCUUAAAUGGCUCGAUCCCUCCUGUGCGGGAGCAUUGGCAGGUCAUGUUUCGAAAUGCGUGAGCCGGUUGGGCCGAGUCAUAAUUCGAAGUGGCGUAGUGCAGGUGGGCCGAGGUCACAGAUCGAACCGUGAGCGCUGUUUCUGUAUUUAAGUGAAUUGGUUGCGUAAUUUUAACAGCUUGAGCUUUGGAUUAGUGGUUAACACCGAACCGAUCCGACAAUAACCUAGUGUCAAUGACACUAGGUUCAUUAUAUCAUUGUUAACUCUAUGUGCCUUUGACACUAGUUCAAUGCCACUCGAUUGUAGCGGCAUUCUAUGUAACACACUUACACAUACCCUUUAUACUUAUAUUCUUAUCUUAUCAUAUAUGCAUUAUCACUACAUCUUUCUACUUAGUUAACAUGUAAUCCACUUACUUAUGUCUUAGACUAACAAUCAUCAAGCAUAUUCUCUUUAGUCACUCAUACAACAACUUUAUUUCUUUCUCAAUAUCAUCUGAUUUACACAUAUUAGCUGUGAGCAGGGCUACUCUAGCAUUCGUUACUUGGCACAUAUUACAUGCAUUCUUUAUUAGCAUUUCAAUCAUGCAUCCAUUUCUAAAGCAUGCAUCUAGUUCAUGUUACUUGGCAUUUAACUCAUGCAUUUAUCUAGCAUAUGUCUUACAUACUCAUUUAGCAUUUAGCUCUUGCAUUCACUAGCAUACUUCACAUGCAUUUACUUAGCAUCUAGCCCAUGCCAUUAUAUGCAUUUAUUAGCAUCAUUAUAGUGCAUUCUUACUUAACAUUCUUAUCAUGCAUCAAUAGUGAAUCACACUACACUUUGGCAUGAAGGCGAUCUAGUCGCUUCGGUAAGCACAACCCACCUUUCAACGCGUUCUGAUUGCUUGUCGUCACUUGCAAUCGGCCUCCCACGGUACCCGUGACCUGGUUUGGCCCGAACUCUUGUGCGACCACCCGAACGGCCACCAAUCCGCGAUCCGUCUGUUCGGGAGUUUAUUCCCUGACACCACGAUACUCCCGAUCCAUUUUCAUGAUUUUUGGAGGCUUAUCCCGCGUGCUGCGGCUGUCUGUACCAAAACAGACUGUUUCGUCAAUAACCUCACGUACACUCGUCGGAUUGUCGAACCGAGCGCACCAACGCGUUCGUUAUACCCCCAAUUAGGUUUGUAUAGGGUCAAUUGAGAUCAAACCCAAAUAUUUACAAAAACCCUCUUUUGGAGCCCUAAUACCUCACUAUUGCAAUUAGCUUCAUACAAGCCAUUAAUCUUGCAAUAAAUGAGAUCAAUUACUUCUAGAGCAUCAUUAAACAUCAUCUAGCUAAGCUCAAAGAGGUCUAAAUCAUGCCCUAGCAUUCAACAUGAGAGGCUCAAAGAGCUUACCUCAACUAGCUAGGAAGAAGAUAGAGAAGGUGAUGAUGGUAUUUCUCUUGAUCCUCCUCUCCUUCUUCUCCUUCUUUUUCUUCUCUUUCUUUCUCUUCUUCUUCUCCUUCUUUUCUUUCUUGAGAGAGAGAGGGAGAGUUUGAGGGUGUUAAGGUUGAGAGAAAUGAGAGAAAGAUCUCAUUCCACAAUCUAAUAGCCUCUAUUAGUGCAAAAUUGCUGAAAACACCCUCAACAAUGCAUUUCUCGCAACAACUCGAACUGGGCAUUUUCGGACUCAGGGACCGGUCCUUGGACUUGAGGGACCGAUCCCCGUAGGGUCCAAAAUUCCGGCAUUUAGGACUUAGCCAAAUUUUCAGCUUUUUCACCGUUUUCGCUCCGUUUUCGCUCCUUUUCGCUCGUUUGACAUCCGAUUCGUUUCAAACCGAACCGAGACUCUCCAAACAUAUUUUCAUGCAUGUUUUCAUCAUCUUUUCAUCCACACUAAUGCCGGAUUUAGUCCAUGAUCCAACAUAGCCUUUCGGGUCCCGUUUUCGCGCCCUAUGCGCACCGAAACACCCGAAUGCUCCCGAACUUCGCCGGAAUAAUUCCAACGGCUUUCUAAGCUAACAUACAUCGUAACUUCAUGAAUUAGAAGUUCGGUAUAUUACAAGUGGGGCAGAGGACGUGCAUUGUUUGAGCCUCUACAUUUUACAGAGUCGCCCUAGUUGGCGGGGUCUUCGAAUUCUUGGCGAUAAGACUAUCUUGAACGGCCUUACAGAAUGGAAGGAUGACAUAAUCCGACGAUUCAAGAUAAGACUAUCUUGGUGUUCUAAGACUAAUACUUUUCAUUUUUCUUAUGGGGAGAUUGGUAUCUCUCUUUGGGAUAUUAGGGUAUUAGGAGGUAUUCCUAUUCUCGGAGAGAUGUAUGAAGAGUUCAUACCAAGGAACUAUGAUCUUGAUAUCUAUAAUGCUAGUCUCACUUCUUUGCUUACAGUAUAUGAGUGGCUUACUAUCAGAAACCAAGGGGGUCCGGUUUAUUAUAAUCAUUGGAUUGAUUAUUGGUAUUAAGGUGAUAUCGCGUCUUCUUCUCGACCACAUUUGAUUAGUGAUGAUGAGCAUUGUAUUGGCCCACCCAUCAAGAACAAUGGCUAUAGGGCUACGUUCUUAUCAUUGUGGCUUUGCAAAUUCAUUAUGCCAUCAGGCCAAAUUAAGGGAUACGAUUCGCCCAGAGGUCUUUGUUAUGGCCUCCAAAUUGGGUGAGGGGCUCAAAGUCGCUCUAGCUCCUGCAGUGUUAUGCUUAAUUCAAGUGGCUUUAGGUCACAUAGCCUCUGAUCCGCAGGGACCUUCCAAUUCUAAUUACCGCUUCCCUAUUCAUUUUUUGGCAACGUGGAUUCAUUCUCACUUCCGAGGGGCUUGCACCCGCGUAAAAUUCGAUGCCGAAGUUAUAAGGGUGCUGAAUCGCAUGCAAAUCCCCGAAAUGUUGCGAUUUAAAGAUGCGAGAAUUACUUCUUAUAAUUCGAGAAGACAUCACCAAGACGCAAAGAGAUCGAGGAUACAUCUAUGGCAACAGGGUUUGGCGCCCGUUCCCAUUCGCUCCAUCCAAAGAAGGUUGGGUUCAUGAAAUAGUUAAUUUGGCGGGGUGACAGAGUUCCCAGAUAAUAUCAAGGAGUACCUGAUGUCCAUCCGUCAUAGUAUCAUACCACUUCGUAUGGGAAAUAUACUCCAUGCACAACUUUACAAUCCUCACAGGUUUGCUCGCCAAUUUGGUUUUGAUCAGCACUAUGCUAGAGAUGCUGACAAUAUAGCUAGGAUUGUUGUUUCAGCUAGUGUGUUGAGAGGAUAUUGGUCACACUUCAUAAAAGUCCGCCAUUUUACCAGAUUUUUUAUUCCAAAUGCGAAUCGUGUUGGAAAACCAACACGUUUGUAUGCUCUUUGGUGGAGGAGUAUGUUAGAGCCUUAUUUCUCGUCUGGAAUUGAUUCGUUGGUUGAGCAUGAAUUAAACCCAAAGAAAAUUCACAGAUCCAUCCCUAGGUCUUUGUCUGUGGAGCCUCAACGCGGUGCUCGUGAUAUAAGUCCGUUUACUCAUACAGCUAAGCAAAAUCUCGUGGCAGAAUCUUCUCAUUAUUCUCUUCAGCAAACGCACGAGAUUCCGGACGUCCCUAAUUCAUCUUUGCUUGUGCAUAAUUGAUUCGAACCCAAUAUAGUAAACGAUCAGAUCGCUGCAAAAAGAGGGCUCCCGAAGACUCGAGCUGCAGAGACCCGAAAAGACCCUGUGUUGAUGCAUCAAUGGCCACGACGAGCGUCACAAGAGAAAAAGGUAAACACUUAUAUGCAUUGUCCUUUUUUUUUCCUCUUUUCUCUUAUUUAUUUAUAUCUCUCUUCUUUUUCUCACUCUUUUUUUUUUUUAAGCAUCUCAAAUUCAUAUAAAGUGUAUUCCUGAGGAGAAACUGUCAUCACCAAUACCCUCUGGAGGUAUCCAAUCUUAUUUCUCUCUUUUUUUUCUUUUUUUUUUUAUUCGUCCCUUUUUUUUCUUGCAGACUAUCUUAAUGAGAAUACUUAUUCUUCCAUGAUUGGCAACAAAGUAGAGCCUUCUCUAGUUCUUGCUUCUUUUGAUGAGGGUGGUGAGCCUUUCUUCUCUAUCCCUUUCUCUCUUUUUUUUUUUUUUCUUUUCUUACUAAUUCACCUAUGUUUUGUUAUGUAGGUCGUGACCAUAAUCCCUUGAUUGAUGCAAAGGCUAUUGUGGUGGAUCCUUAGGACAUUGCUUCCCCACGAGAUGCCUCCUUUUUUUUUUUUUCUUGAAAUAUGGGCAGGUCUCCUAACUACCCCUUUUUNUUUUUUUGAAUAUCUUGAAAUAUGGGCAGGUCUCCUAACUACCCCUUUUUUGUUUGCAGAGAUCGAAGACAGUAUCCCUUCUCGAUAUAACCCUGAAGUCGACUAUGAACCAACUCCAUCGGUUAGUAAGGAUAAUUCGGACUAGCCUCAAGAUACGGUAAUCUCAUAAGACCUGUAUACGAAGACCACUCAUGUGCUUCCAGUAUAAUGAUCACUAAUUUGCUCUCCUUUUCCCCUUUUUAGUGGGUAGUUGACGAAGAUGUCUCAGAUACAAAUAUAGCAGUUUUCGCACACACUCUAAUAGGAAAGACAAAUAUGGCAGUUUCGGCGUACACUCUAAUAGGAAAUGAGUCCAAGGAUAAUGUUGAUGAUACAGCUACAACAAAAGAGAUUUGGAGAUUAAGUCUGUAAAUGGAGAUGAUCCUAUUGCGGCUGUAGGCGUUUCGUCGAAGAACAUGCUUUUGGAAAGAAGGUGGUGGCACAGGUCAUCCAAUAUCUUCCGACCAUGGCGUUGGACAGGAAAGUAGACCCACUUUGAUAGAUCAUUUGAUCGAGAUAGUAAGGACCUCCAGUUAUCACACUUAUCCCGUCAUCCAAGUAAAAAUUAUCGAGUAUUGUGAGAUUCUGUCCCGUAUAGGGGUUGACACCUCUGGCUUGAAUAUGCAUCUCCAUAAGUUAUUCAGGGAAGCAGAAGCUAUUUGAGAGGUUGCAGCUUAUCCAUCUUAUUCUUCGUCGGCUCGAAUCUUGAAGGCCGAGGAGCACAUGGCGCGAAUCACUAAGGAGCUCAAAGAUUAUGACUCUAAAAGGAGUUCUCUGACCCGAACUAAGGAACAAGCUUUGACCUUACUUGAUCAGCAGCGCCAUAGGGUUGAGGAUUUAGAGAGGACUCUCGCGGCAGCGCGAGCAAAGGAAGCAGAAUUGAACGACGAGGUCAAUACUAUAAACGAAUGCAUCUUUCGGCUUGACUCGGGCAAGGAUAAGGCAGUGGCAAUAAUAGAAGGAGCAAUUGAAGAAUUUGGAGCGACUGAAGAUAGCCAUAGCACAACGGUGGAAUUCAAUCAUCUUUCUAAUCUCAUAAAGGAUUUUGAACAUCAUUGCAAGGAGUUUGAUUUAUGAGCCUCUAUUUUUUUUUUUUCAGAACCUUUCUUUCUUUUUUUUUUUUAAGAACCGGAACUCACCUUUGUUUAUGAUUUCAUCUCAAGACAGUAGUAAUUUCCUACCUUUCAUAUUGUUAUUCUUACUUCUCUGCCUUCUUAUUUUUUGCUUGGCUUUGAAAGGUAAGCCAGUAUUUCCUCCUUGAGAAGGUUUUGAGAAAUGUGUUUUGUUUGAUUUGUUUGACCUCCGAAAGCAACUCAGUGUAUCGAGAUUGCUGCGUAUAACCGACCCCAAAGGGUGAGUUAGCAUUCCAUCGUCGGCAAGAGGAACAAAGAAUAUUGUUAAGUUUAUUUGGCCUCCGGAAGCAACUCGGUAUAUCGAGAUUGCUGCGCAUAACCGACCCUAAAAGGUGAGUUAGCAUUCCAUCGUCGGCAAGAGGAACAAAGAAUAUUAUUAAGUUUAUUUGGCCUCCAGAAGCAACUCGGUGUAUCGAGAUUGCUGCGCAUAACCGACCCUAAAGGAUGAGUUAGCAUUCCAUCGCCGGCAGGGAAAGGUGUGGAUUUUAGGUUUAUUGGAAGCUAGCGCCUGUGAGGGUUUUCACUAAAGACCUUUUCCCUAACUUUUGCCUGUGAGCCAAAUGCAGGUUUUCUCACAGCGGGGAUUCCAUUUUUUGCCUGAGAAAUUUAUUCACAGCUGGAUUUUUUCUUCUUCUUUUAUUUAUUUAUUUAUUUAUUUAUUUUUAUGGAUAUUAUUUUUUUCAAAAAUCAUCCGUUGAUCGGUGGCAUCGGUCUUUCUUCUUGUGAACUGGACCUUGUCCUUGUGGUAGUACUCUUCCAGACCUUAAUUUUAUUUGCAGGGUAUCUCUUUUAUCAUUUUUCGAAUCAGUACUGACAUCAACUGCCCUACAAAUCUCACUCUGAAUUUUCUUCGAACUCUUGCCUUCAUAAGAGUGAAGCAUAUCUAUUAUCGUCCUUGUCUAAGAGCUUAUAUUUUUCACUGCCGUAGCAACACAGUCUAGAUUUGACUUUAAAGAAUGGACGUCUAGCUGCAGUCUUUUCACAUCGUUCCUACUUAUAGGAUACGAGUUUCCAUUCUUUUUAAUUCUUAAUUUUGGGGGGAAGAUUCGUAUGCCAGCCAUGCACUGUCACUUUCUUCGUUCACCAUUGCUGUUUGUUUACUUUUUCAUCUCCGUUUAUUAACAGACUCUUUAGAGUGAUUUUCGGAAAUGGUGAUCACUCUACAAGACUCCCUGUUGAGAGUUUUCUCUUCAAGCUUUUUUAAACGUUGACAACUUCUAUAAGAGUGGCCAUUAGUUCUACAGAAGCUGCAGAUGAUAGGCUCAUUCUCAUCAUAUGGUAGAUAUGUUCUCAGGGAUCUUAUGUUCCUUGUAGCUUGAUUCUUCUUGAAGCCUUUACUGGUUGAGGGUUGCAUUUGAUUUCUCUUUGCAUAUUGUUCUAUGUUAUGCCCCCACUCCUGAUGGCUCGGAGAAAAUCGAAGUUGUGCUUCUCUUUGCUCUGUUUUCUGAGUCUUCUUAGUUACAAAAGUGUUCCAAAACUCUGGAGAAAGAGGGUUGUCGAGCCCCAUCGUUUCUUGGGUUCCUGCACUAAUUGCAUUAGUUUCCUCCACUUGUGGAUCUGUCAAGACUGAACGAGAUAGGGUGAUGGCAUCGGUUUUAUAUUGUUUCUCAACCCAAUCUUUAAACACCCAAAAUCCUUCAAUAGAGUGAUUGACUAUUCUAUGAUAGAGACAAUAAUUUGAGUCAUUGAUUUUACCGACAUCUUUUGGUCUCUUCGGCUCUGGUAACUGCAGACCACUUUUGAUAGCAUCAUUGAGUAUUUUUUUCACUUUGUCUCUUUUAAAGGAGUAGACUUUACUCUUUCUUUUCCCCAUAGUCAUCUUAUAGUUACCACCGCCCAACAUUGGCUUAGAUGUCGGCCCAACUGAGGUAUUAGGCUUCUUCUCUUUUUCUAUAUUGUUAGCGUAGGCGGUUCUCGAAUGAGUGGUUUUGGCUUCAGCUUCCUUUUUAUCUUCCUUCUGAGAUCUAGAAGGGUAAACACUCGUCAAAAUUUGUGGAUCUGUUUUCUCUAGCUUUGAGACAUUCAGUAUAAGAUCCUGAAAUGUGGUGCAACUGGUAGUAAAAAGGAACGGGGCCAUCCAGUUGUCUAUAUUCCCCUUGAGCAGCUCUACUGCUUGAGGUUGCUCUAGGGUUGCUUCACAUCGAGUUAUGUAGUCUAGUAUUGAUUCAUGUUUCUUUCUUUUAGUAGCUGCCAGAUCAGCUAUUGAAAUUUUAUCGCUAACUGUAGCGAGUUUUGCUCGAAAAACAUUCUCCAUUUCACUCCAAGUUUUGAUUGAGUCAUCUUUGAAAGAAUAAUACCAGUCGAAAGCUAUCCCAGUCAAACUUUGAGGGAAUUGGCGCAAUAAUAACACAUUGUUGCCUCCGGUGUUACCACACGUGGCCUUGAAAUGUGCCAAAUGUUAAUCCGGAUUGCCCACCCCAUUAAAUUGUUUGAAUUUAGGAAUGAUAUACCCUAUGGGAAAGGGUAUAUCAUCAUAUUCCACAGGAUAUGGAUGCCCCAUUCCUUUCUCUUUGAGUAUUGACCCUACCAUCGACUCUUUUAGUUGAAGGGCAAUAAGUUCUGAUAUUUAAUCUCUGGUCAUAUUAUGAGUAUCUUUCUAGAUGCGAGCUGUUGUAGUCAACUGAUUUGUUUGAUUUUCUUCGGUGGAUGAGUUCAAGGUUGGCUGUGUAAAUUGAACUUCAGGGUUGCGCAAUUGCACUCCCAUGUGUGUCUGUAUGUUGAUGACCAUUUCCAAGACCUCGUCUAACUUUCUAUUCAGGUUUGAUAUAUCUUUAUCAUUUUCCUCCAGUUUCUUUUUCAUUGAAUCGAUUAGGAGAUCUUUAGGAUCCCGGGAAAGAAAAGCGGGCUCCUUUUCAUUCUCCUCCAUGUUAAACGGGUCUAGAGGUAAGUCAGUAUUAGGGUGCUAAGGUAGGUCAGUGUUGGGAUGUUCUGCUAUCUCUUGAGAGGAAUCACUUCUUUUUGUUUCAGGGGCCUUCUUCCUUCUACGUAGGAGGGCGGCUUUCAUAGCUAUCUCCCUCAGUGUUAGAUUAUCAUCUUCAUUAUCUCCUUCUGUAUGAUUGACCACCCUCACUGUGUGAACAGUCAAUCUCUUGGAGUUUUUUAUUUGUUUCUCCUGAUCAUUGACUGGUUUAACAGUAUUCUUUACCCUCCACUGCUUCGUAAUUUCUUGUUCACCUGCAAUGGUUACUUUUGCCCCCUAAUUGUAUAUGUUUUCACCCAUACGAUGCCUUUUGACCUCUUUCAAGGCCUCGUAAAUACGUUGAAAUAUAGUUGUUUCUUUAUGUCUUGGCGACGCCUCACUAGCAGAUCGUAGGCGGCUUGCCUCGUUAACAGGUCGUAAGUGACCCAUUUCUGUGUUCGGGCGGAGAACAGCGGUGGGUGAAUUCUUUUUGACGAACUUGAGUGGGGCGAACUUGUUAUGCAUGAGACCCGCCGGUUCGACUAUAGCCUUGAUCAGCGGUGGUGCCUCUGUCCCCUUGUCUUCCCUUGUCUUCUCUUUAAGGAACAUCUGGCGUUUCUCUUAAAAGAUCCGGAUUUUAGAUGAAGUGCCAUCUCGGCAACUUCACCUGUAGAGGUCGUCAGUCUAUCGAAAACUGAUUUUCUUGGAGUCUCCGAAUCAAUGGUUUCAGAAUUGAUAGGGGCCAAUCUUUUAAAGACAGACAUCCUUGUAAGCUGGCCAUCAGAAAAUUUGAGUCGGCCCUCCAUCACCAUCCUUGUUGCGGCAGAAGGAACAACCAAUCGCUCCUUGGCAGGCCUGCGAGGAGGAUUCGGGAUGAUGACGUUUGGGCGCCUCCUACGUGAUGGAAGGUGAGCAAUCACUCAGUUGUUUGGAGCCAGAAUGGCUUUGUCCUUGGAGUCCGUCGAAGUCCUGCCCUCACCAAGUUGAGUGGCUCGCUGGGGCAUGACAGUAGUUAGAAUGUCCUCAGUGAUGGUGCCGAACUAGAUGGUGACACCGGCAGCCUCUAUCUUCAUCAUGGAAGCGGGAAAGCGAAUUUGUGCUGCAUUGACCGUGGUGUUGUUUGACGCCAUUGCUCUGCAUAUACAAGACAGCAGAUGUCAGUCACACAUAGAUAUAAAUAUAUUUUGGUCUUUUAUUAGCAUUUAUUAAUUAGGUCUCAAAGAUGGAGGGUGAAGCCAUGUCUCACCGGGCGUGCCAUUUUGUCUGCCGCGAAUGAACCGGCCCCGCCGUAGGUGUUUUUAAGGCGAGUGGUCAUUCAUGGUAGAUAUUAUAUUUGUUUUUCUUUUGGAAUCAGGAUUAUAGGUUCAUGACUUCCAACAGACUCAAGAGUUUGCUGUUAAUUACUCCACACUUUCGGUGUUAAUGAACCAUCGAUUAAGAAACCAAAUAUAAAUAUUGAUAAUAAAAGAAACAAAACAGACAAAUAAAAUUUUAUUAAUAUGAUUUCCGUGCACAUGGCUUAAGCAAGGGCAUUCCCCCACUGUACAUAAAUUUUAUAAAACUAAAUACUCAGUUUAUAGACUUGAUGGUCGAUUAGGAUCAGAUUGCUCAGUUUAAUGACAUGGCGGUCGGUUGAAGUUUUGAUGCUUAGUUUAAUGACAUGACGGUCGGUUUAAGUUUGGUUUAACGACUUUGCAGUCGUUUGGAUUGGGUUUAGUUUAACGACUUUUCGGUCGUUUGAAUUUGGGUUUAGUUUAGCGACUUUUCGGUCGUUUGAAUUUGGGUUUAGUUUAGCGACUUUUCGGUCGUUUGAAUUUGGGUUUAGCUUAGCGACUUUUCGGUCAUUUGGAUUUGGGUUUAGCUUAGCGACUUUUCGGUUGUUUGGAUUUGGGUUUAGCUUAGCGACUUUUUGGUUGUUUGGAUUUGGGUUUAGUUUAGCGACUUUACGGUCGUUUGAAUUUGGGUUUAGUUUAACGACUUUUUAGUCGUUUGAAUUUGGGUUUAGUUUAACGACUUUUCGGUCGUUUGAAUUUGGGUUUUGGGUUUUAUUUGUAGACUUCGGAUUUUUCUUUUUAUUUGUGGACUUUGGAUUUUUUGGAUUUUGUUUGUGGAUUUUGGGUUUUGGAUCUUUAUUCAUGGACUUUGGGUUUUGGAUCUUUAUUUGUGGACUUUGGAUUUUUGGGAUUUUGUUUGUGGAUUUUGGGUUUUUAGGAUUUUGUUUGUGGAUUUUGGGUUCUGGGUUGAGAAGUUUAUUUGUAUGAAUUUUUAUUGGUUUUGGAUCCAAAUCUACAUGUGGCUUGAGAUGGGUUUCGGGCUUUAUAUGUUUUAGGCCUUGGAUUCGAAUCUGCAUGUGAACUUGGAUUGGUUUUGGACUUUACAUGUUCUGAGCCUUGGACCCGAAUCUGCAUGUGGAUUGCAAUUAGUCUUGAACUUUACGUGCUCUGGGCCUUGAACCCGAAUCUGCAUGUGGGCUGGAAUUGAUUUUGGACUUUACAUGUUCUGGGCCUUGGACCCGAAUCUGCAUAUGGGCUUGGUGCUUUAUUUUUUUUUACUGCUUAUGGAAUUUGUUUGUUGGGCCCAUGUUAGAUUGAACCAUUUUCAAAAUAACUCAAAUCUAAUUUCUCAAAUUUUGUUCCUUGUUCUUUUUUUCCUUUUUUUUUUUGAUUGACCAGGAGAGAUGGAACAAUUUUUUUCUUUUUUUUUCUUUUCAUUUCUUUUUUUUUCUUUUUUUUUUGUUCUUCUUUUUUUUUUCUUUUUUUUUUCUUCAUUUCUUUUGUUGAUUGCCAGAGAGAGGUAAGGAACAACUCUUUUUCUUUUCUUUCUUUUUUUCUAUUUGUUGUAUUUUUUUUUCUUUUCUCUCUUUUUUUUGUUGGUUCUCACUGCCAGAGAGAGAGAGAGAGAGUUGGAAACCCAACUUCCCCCUUUUUUUUUUUUCGUAUUUGUUGUAAUUUUUUCUUUCUUUGCGUUCUUUUUUUUGUUGUUCUGAACUGCCAAGAUUCCAACUCCCCUCUCUCUGGAGAGAGAUUCCAACUCUCUCUGUGAAGAGAAGAGAGAGAGAGAGAGAGAGAGAGGGGGAGGGUUUAAUCACUCGCGUUUUCCGCCUUUUUCUUUUUUUUUUUUGUUUUCUUUUGCGUUUGUUUUUUUUUUUUUUUUAUUCAUCAUUUUUUUAUGUCAAUAUAUCAAAAUUUUUUUAUUAUUUUUUUUUAAAAAAAUAUCGAAUUGAUCACGUCGAGCAUGUACGAUUCGAAUCGAACUAAGAGACGAAUCAAGACGUCACUGCGUCCCAUUUUUUUUUAUUCAUUUUUAUUAUUGUUAUAUUAUAUUAUUUAUUUAUAUAUAUAUAUAUAUUUAUAUUAAUAUAUAAAGAGAGAGAGAAGAGAGAGAGAGAGAGAGAGUAAGGCUACUAUGCUAUUGAACAGCACGGAGCCUCGUUCUUCCAGCUCCGUUUUCGAUUUGCGACUUUCGAAUCGUCGAUAGCCUCAUCUUUUUAUGAUUUUCGAAUUCAUUUUGCCUAGUGAUCGAAAGGGUCUCAAAUUCAAUAAUUUAAUGACUCAGAAGUGAGCCGAUUUGCUAAGUUCUAUAUACGCUGUACGAAAUAUCAAUCGCCCUAGAAAUUGUGAUGAAAUUCUUUUCAUACUAAUAUUAAACAAGAUCAUAUCUUGAUCUAAAAUUUCUAAUAUCAUAUUUAUCACGUUUUGUAAGAUUUUUAUUUCAGCCCCGUUGAUCUUGAAGCCUCUUGGACUUCACUAGCUAAACUAAUAUCCGAAAAAUUCGCAUAAUUUAACGGAGCCACAUCGACGAUUCGAAAGUCGGUCAACAUUCGAAAACGAGCUGCAGGCAACGGAAGGCCUCGGGCUUCCGAUAAGCUAAGUAUUCCUAUCCAUAUAAUAUUAUAUAUUAUAAUAUAUAAAUAUAUAUAUUAUAUAUAUAUAUAUAUAUAUAUCACGUUUUGUUCAAGUACGCGGGGUUUAAUCGUGUCAAGCUUAUCAUGAAGAUGGCCGCUCGAUUAACCUUUUCAACCAAGUCGAGCCUAUCGCGAAAAUAGCCGCACGGUUUACGCAGUAAAAUGAACGGUGCUCGAUAACCCAUUAGCGAUGCAUACGCCCGAUGAAAGUGACGAUUUGAUGUCAAAUUUGAUCGAUUCGAAACUUAUCACGAAGAUAGUCGGGUUGAUCAAAUUGACAAAAAAACGCACUUAUGCUAUGCAUAUGCAUACAUAUCUCCUAUUGUUGUAGAAGUCGUCGUGAUUCUUGUUGUCGAACUCGUAGUCGAAUGAGAGAGUCAAAGUCCUUUUUUUUUUUUUUUUUUUUUGUUGCUGUGGUACGGACAAAGGAGGUGGGGUGCACAUGGCACCCUCCUCUGCCAGCAUGGCCAAAAGGCCUCUUCCUUUGUGCAUGUACCCGAGGGAGAGAGAAAGAGGGAGAGAGAAAAAAGUAAAAAAAAAUAAAUAAAUAAACAUUCCUUCUCACCUUUUGUUUUCUCUCCGGUUCUCCUUUUUUUUUCUUUUUUUUUUCUUCUGCUAAAAAAAUUCUCUAGCCCUUUUUCAAAGUUUUGAUCUUAUUUUUAUAUAGGAUUCAAAAAUGAUUCCCAUUUGGGAAUAGUUUGAAAAUCAACUAAUUGAGAAAUCAAACCUCAAUGAACUAAUUUAUACUCGUUUUGUUUUAUUUUGAAUACUUUCCUUCUUCUUUUUUUUUAUUUCCUUUUCUCUUUCUCCUUAUAUAUAUAUAUAUAUAUAUAUUGAAACUAGACUACUAUAUAAGGCAAAAUCCAUUUGCUACCCAGUUUUAUUAAACCUUUGGAUUAACUCUUUUCAUUAUCUUCUAUCCAUUGGAUAAAUACUAUAACCCAGUAGUGACCAUCAACCUAUGGGUACCUACUCACUCUAGCACCGCCUAAUGACAUCCUGACCCUAUCAAAUUUUUCAUCCAAGGGCAUAUAAAACUGAUAGCAAAAAAAGCGUUUUAACUAUAAUAUAAUUCCAAGCCUAAUAUAUAUAUUAAAUAUAAUAAUAUUCUGGAAUCAAUAUUAAUUAAAAUACGCUUUUUGACUAUCCAAGUUUUAGCUCCUUUGAUUUAACAAAUUGUAGGUCGCGAAUAUAUUAGUCGUUAGUAGUGAGUGGUCCCCUAGGUUACGUUGUCCUCAGUAUAUUAUAAUUAGGCUGGAAUAUUAUUAAUAGUAAAACGCUUUUUUUGCUAUCAAGUUUUUAGCCCUUGGAUGAAAAAUUGUAGGGUCAGGAUGAUAUUAGUCGGUUAGAGUUGAGUGGUCCCCCUAGGGUUGAGUGGUCCCUACUGGGUUAUAGUAUUUAAUCCAAUGGCUAGAAAUAAUGAAAAGAGUUGAUCCAAAGGCUAAAAAACUGAUAGCAACAAUGGGAUUUUGCUACUAAUAGUAGCCCAGUCCAAAUAUAUAUAUAUAUAUAUAUAUAUAUAUAUAUAUAUAUAUUAGAAUUUGAAUUUAAGUAGAAUAUGACACCUACUCUAAUUAGGAUAUAUACUUUUUUUUUAUAUAUAUGUACCUUCUCCUUUUUUUUUUAACUCGAACAGGAUCUCGAGGAAGGAGAGGUGCACACAGUGCAGGAGGAGUGGGUGAUGUGGGUAGAUUGUCACAAUAGCGAACAGCUCGUCUAGUUGUGACUACCCAUUCAGCCCAAGCUACAAAUCAGCUCCAGAGUUCAACCUAAAUGGCCCCAAGCUUCACAAAUAAACAAUAUCAACAGCUUUUAGCACUUGAUCAAUUAAAUAAAUAUCAAGUAAGAAUUUCACUCACAAUGAUAUUAUGGAUUGAAUACUGGACACAGGAGUCUCAAUGCAUAUCACCGAAUGAUAGAAUAUUUUGACGAACCCGAAAGAGUAGAAGCAUCGUACCCUAUAUAACUCCCAAAUGGGAGGACAGUUCGGGUUAAGAUAACGAGACAAAUGAAAUUAGGCCCGAAUUUAAUUUUAAGAAAUGUUCCUUACGUUCCUGGUUUUAUGUGCAAUUUAAUUUUGCUUCAAAAAUUGACCGCGGAUCUAAACUAUUUGGUGACAAUUUUUCCUGAUUUUUGUCUUGUAUAGGACCUCACCUUGAAGAAGCCAAUUGGAGUAGGUGAAUUGAGGGGAGGGGUCUAUAAUCUCAAGUGCGUGACACUAUUGUCAGCAUGUGCGGUAACCACGGCGGAGAGCUAUAAUUUAUGGCAUCGACGACUAGGACAUCCCUCGCGCUAUGUUUUGAAUUUAAUUCCAAAAAUUUCAAUUAACAAGUAUUUUAGUGAUUAGCAUAUUUGAAGUAUCUAGAAAAUAAAAUUUAUAAUUUUUCAAUAUCAUUCACCUAGAGAUCGAAAGGAUUCAAAAUCAACAAAUUUUAAUGAUUGAUAUAAAUCAUUUGCAAGUUUAACGGUGUAAAAAUAUUCAAAUCAGAUAAAUUUUGAUAGAAAAUUUUUUAUACUAUUUACUGUAAGAUCAAUUUCUAUAAUUGAAAAUUUUAGUGCUAGAUCAAUUCUAACGGAGCCGAUCGUCGAUUCGGAAGCUUGUGCUAUUAGGAGUAAGGAGGCCUUCGUACUCCUAAGCCGUUUUCGACGAUGGAACUUCUGAAUCGACGAUCAACUAUGUUGGACUUGAUUUACCAUAUUUGAAGUAUCUAGAAAAUAAAUUUUGUGAUUUUUCGAUAUUAUUUACAUAGCGAUCGAAAGGAUCAAAAUUAAUGAUUGAAAAUAAAAAUCUCACAAAAAAGUGGUGAUAUAACACUAAAAUUUUCGAUCAGAUAUAUUGAUCUUGCAGUAAAUAGUAUUAAAAAAUUUUCUAUCAAAAUUUCAUUUGAUUUAAAUACUUCUACACUUUUUUUUUUUUUUGAGAGAGAGAUAGGUAGCACGCUACCCGUUUCGUUUAUUUCAUUUAGAAAUAAACUUAGCUAGAAAUGUGAAUCGACUAGGAUUCGAACUUGGGUCUCGGGUACCAACCACCAAGCCCUUUGUCACUUGCUCUAGGGACGGUUGGUACUGUUAAACUUCCAAACAAUAUACAUUAAUUAUUAAAAAUUGUUGAUUUUGAUCCCUUUCAAUCGCUAGGUAAAUGAUAUCGAAAAAUCGCAAAAUUUAUUUUCUAGAUACUUCAAAUACGUUAGAUCAAGUCUAAUAGAGCCGAUCAUCAAUUCGGAUGCUCCAUCAUCAAAAACGGCUUAAGAGCACAGAGACCUCUAUGCUCCUAAUAGCACACAAGACCUACUCUAUAUAUAUAGACACACACACUAACCAAUGGCCCUGUGACAUCUCAAUAGUCACACAUUAGUUGGGAAUGAGAUUGUGAUUGAAAAUAUAAAAGAUCAUUGAUCUUAAUAAUAAUAACUGGGCUGAAAUAUUUUGGGCUGAUAGUUUAAUGCCAAUGACUUAUUAUUAUUAGUGUGCUGGAUCCUUACUUUCACUUAGGAUGAAGUAAAAGUCCAAUGGGCAAACAAAGCCCAUAUGUCUUUAACAGUUUACUAAAGAAUAAAUAGUUUUGUUUUUUCCGUUUUUGGGGGGAAACUAUAAUUUGUCUCUGUAUGGUUUAGAGCAUUUUGAGUUUAGUACCAUGUGAUUUGAAGUGUUUCACCUUGCCGUGAUUACCCUGUGAUUUGAAACGUUGCACUUUGCUGUUAAGUAAAUUAAUAUUUACUUUGAAGUGUUUUAUUUUUAUUUUGCUGUUAAGAAGGAUACUAAAGUGAUAACAUUUAUAAACCAGGGGAUAGUAAAUUAACAUAUUUUACAAGCCACAUGGUGACAAAUUAUAGUAUUUUACUAAACUAUAUUUUUAUAUAGUCAUUCUGUGAUUUGUAAAAUAUAUUAGUUUAAUUAGUAUCCUACUUAACAGCACAUCUUAAUGAUAAGAUAAAAAUAAAACCACAGCGUAGCAAAAUGAAUCGCUUCAAACCACAAGGUGUCAAAUUGAAAAAUACGCUAAAUCAUAGAGGAAGGCAAAUUAAAGCUUUUUCCUUCUUUUUUUCUGAGAGAAAAAUUCUUUAAAAACAUAUUAGUACAUGAAGAAACUAUAGCAAUAUUCAGAAAGAGGAAUUAUAAUCUCUACAAUCCCAUAUUCAAGAGUGCUUAUAAUUUACUAAUCUCCUUUUAGUUUUAAGUAUUAAAAAGGAAAAUGAUAAGACUAGAUUUCCGAUUUAAAAUUUAAAAUCUACGACAACCAAAUAUAUAAUGGAUCGGGUGCGGACCGAGAUUUGCAGAAUUUCUAAAGAACCGGCCCGAUCCGCGGUCCUCCUUGUGAGAAAUUUGGCCCAUGUAAAUGAACUCUACAGUAAAUCCAAAACUAGGCCCAAAAAUAAGUAGAUUUAUUGAUACUAAAAGUGACUAUUAGGAUCAUGCCAAAUUAAGAUAAUAGAAUUUAGGGCCUUUAUGCUCUCUUGCAUACUUUUAUUUGUAUGAGCAAUGCCUGCUUGUACACCUGUUGGGUCGGAUCAUACUAUACCCAAGUCCAGACCAAAAAAAAUAUAUCGGGAUUAGGGUUGGGCUUUUAUCCAAUUUUUAAAAAAAUUAAGGCCCCGCCGAGGUCUAAUCCCAAUGCCCAAUAUCCAUCGGGCUUUGUGGAGGCCCACUUUACGUAUUUGUCACAUAGUUCAAAUAUAUUUUUAUUGUAUAAAAUUAAGAUAAAAUAAAAUAUUCUCAUGUUAAUAAAUAAUAUAUAUUACAUAUAAUGUUAAGUUGUAUGUAUAUAACUAUGUAAAAUAAUGUGGACUAUAUAUUUUUCCUUAUAGAUGCAUAAUUGUAUAUAAUAAUAUUAUAUAAUAUAUUCUCAUGUAGAAACUAAAUAUUUAGUUUUACUUAUAACAUCGUCAUAUAAUCGCCCUCGAUUCGGAAGCUCCAUCAUUGAAAACAACUUAUGAGUACGAGGGCUCUAAUAUUCAUAAUAGUAUAGUAGCCAUGGCCUAUAUAUNNNNNNNNNNNNNNNNNNNNNNNNNUAGAUAGUAUAAAGAAUUUUGUAUUAAAAUUUUAUCUGAUUUAAAUACUUCUACACCGUUAAACUUGAAAACGGCAGAUAUCAACUAUUAAAAAUUAUUGAUUUUGAAUCCUUUCGAUCACUAGGUAAAUGAUAUAAAAAAAUUGCAAAAAUUAUUUUCUAGAAACUUCAAAUACAGCUCAGGAGCACGGAAGCCUCCGUGCUCCUGAGAGCACAGCAACCCUACUAUAUAUAUAUAUAUAUAUAUAUAUAUAUAUAUCCUUAAUAAUACUAUAUUCUAUAUACAAAUAUAUUAUAUAUAUAAAACUAAAUAUCUUAUUUUGAUAAUUAAUGUAUUGGGCUUUCAAGUCAGGCUUGGACCAGGCUUGAACAUGUCCAGAUAGGCCCAAAUUUUUUUUUAGGCUUAAAUUUUUAAGCCCACCCUAGACCGAAAGUAAUAAUUUACUCAAAGCCUGGCCCAUAGAUGGCCCAUCAGGCCGGCCCUUGUUUAGGCCCAGGCCGAAUUCCACCCCUAGGUGUGAUACACUCUGGCCAUCUAAAGGUUCAUAUUUGCUCACUAGACUUAUCAAAUUAUUUUUAACGACGGUAUGGAAUACUUGUUAGUUUAACGGUGUAAAAAAAUUGAAAUUGAUUAAACCUUUGAUAGGAAAUUUUAUUCACUAUUUAAAUAAUGAUCAAUAACUCUAAUUAUGAAUUAAAGAAUCCGAUCAUUCAUGUUUAGGAUAUUGUUCAAUUUUGAUUAUUUAUUUUAUACCCACUUGAUGGACGUUAUCAAAAUUUUGAAAAAUUACGAAAUUUAUUUCCUACAAGUCUUAAAUGUUCUAGAUUAUAUUUAACGGUGUGUAUCAUCGAUUUGAAAGCUCCGUCAUUGAAAACAACUUAUGAGUAUAAAGGGUUCUGUGCUCGUAAGAGUAUAGUAGCCCUACUCUCUCUCUCUCUCUCUCUCUCUCUCUCUCUCUCUCUCUCUCUAUAUAUAUAUAUAUAGAAUUGAGCUUCUAUGCUUUUAAAAGUAUAAAGUUAUUGAUGCUUGUAGAUAUUUGGCCAUUGGAUUAAGAGAUGUGCGGUUAGGAUGAUGUGGGCCCUUAGAAUUGAGCGGGUGGUUGAUUAAAUAGUAAGGUCUAACAGAUGUCAAAAAGAUAAACCUAAUGCUAGAAAACUUAGUAGCACCACGUUCAUGGUGCUAUUAAAAGUACACCAGUCGGACUCUCUUUUUCUCUCUCUAUAUAUAUAGAGAGAGAAAGUAGAGCUAUAAUACUAUUGAUAGUAUGGAAAUAUGAAAAUAGGUUUUGACCAUUGAAAGUCUAAGGUUUAGGAGGUUAAUGGAAUAGUAAUAAGCUAAUGGUGGAAAAGUGGAUAACGAAUACUAUUUAUAUACUAUUAAUAGUAUGCUAGGUGAAUUCUAUAUAUAUAGAUAGGGAGUUCAACUAAAAUAGUAUUCACCUUUCACUUUUCUAUUCUUAGAUUAUUACUAUUCCAUUAAACCCUCACUAAUCCUCGAUAUCCAAUGGUCAAAAAAUGGAUAGUAAAUAUCAUUCACAUAUUAUUAAUAAUAUUCCGGUGCAACCAACCGUCUCUAUCGUAAGUCGAAAUGGGUUUAGUUGUUGAUACCUGAGGUCUCAAAUUCGAAGCCUAUUUGUUUCAUAUUUCUAUCUAAGUUUGUUUCUAAAAAAAAUAAACGAAACGGAUAGUAUGCUACAUUUCUCUCAAAAAGAAAAAAUAUUCCAGCACCACUCUCUCUCUCUCUCUCUCUCUCUCUCUCUCUCUCUCUCUCAAGGGAAAUAAAAUCUGCAAUCCCAAGAAAGAAAUAUAUAAAAAUGUAGAAAGAACCACUCAAUAUUAGGAUCAUAUCGACCAUACCUAGCACAGCGCCUAGUUCCAUCAUAUUUCUAUCUGAAUUUAUUUUUUGAAAAAAUAAGAAAUGAACGAAGGGGUCUCUCUCUCUCUCUCUCUCAUGCUAGGAUAAUCUCACAUAAAAUAGAAAAAGAAUUGUAUAAGAAAAUAUAAAAUCAAAAACUUUAGCAAUAAUAGCUGGAUGGAAGUAUUUUAGGCCAGUUGGUUCGGAACUAAAUGCUGUAGAUCGUGAUAAACUCAUAUUAGAAAGAAAAAAAAGGAAAAAAAAAAAAAGCUCUAAAAUGAUCAUCUGAACUUUUCCUGCUGAAAAAUAGUUUACUGUCCAAACUUUAAAUUAAAAUAUUUUGGCGGUUACAUCUUCAUAUGUUCAAAUAAAUAUUAGGAGACACUAUUUGUUAGGUUUAACUUAACUUCUCUAGGGUUUGGUGCAUGAUGUGGGUGUUACAUGGGAGGUGAAAGGGAACAAAACAUUAUAAGGCGACGAACACAAGGAGCCAAAAAGCGCUUUGGACGUUGCGCCCUCGAAAAGGAGGAGAAAUAAAUGGUGUGGUGUGGGUUUUUGAUUACAAUGGACAACAAACACCCCACAUUUCAUGGGCAUUUUAUUUAACUCUUAUCCUCAUUUUCAUGGGUUGGGACUUGCAUGGGACCAUGUAUAAAAAGGCUAAUAAUAAUGACAAAAAGUCCCAGUUUAAUUUGGAUGCCUUUAAAUAAAAUUUUCUUCGUUAAUAAUGACAAAAAUUCUAGAAAAGAAAGAGUCUGAAAAAAAAAUAAUAAUAAUUUCGAAAAAAAAAUUCCAUGGAAAACUCUUUCUUCUGUUUUCUCUGCGUAUUUCAUUAUGAAAAAAGCUAGCUUUUUGGAGAAAUUUUUGCCAGAUGUCACGGAAAAGUAGUGUUUUUUUUUUCAUUUAAAAAAAAAACAGAAAUGUUUUCAAUGACAAGCUGGUAUAUUAUCGGUAGCACGAAGACCUCUGUGCUAUCAAGUUGUUUUCAAUGAUGCGGCUUCCAAAUCGACGAUCGGUUCUGUUAGAAUUAAUCUAUAUUAUUAAAAGUAUUUGGAAACUAAAUUUCAUAAUUUUUCGACAUUAUUUACCUAUAAAACGAGUAGACUAAAAAUAAACAGCUAAAAAUAAAAAUCUCAUAAAAAAUGAUGAUAAAAGACUUGAAUUUAAUAUCAAAGGUACUGAUUUACUCUAAAUAGUAAAAAAAAAAUUUUAUAAAAAUUUCAUCAGAUUUGAAUUGUUUUACACCGUUAAAUUCACAAACGUAUCACAUUUAUGAUUAAAAUUGUCAAUUUUGAAACCUUUUGAUCACUAGCCAAAUAAUAUUGAAAAAUUAUAUAUAAAAUUUCCUAUUAAAUUAUUUUUUAUGAUAGAGAUUCCGAAUCAAUGAUCGGAACCGUUGAAAUUGAUCUAGAGUAUUUAUAUUGAUCAAAAAUGUUGACAAAAUAAUUAAUGUAAAAAAAUAUUGCCUUUGUUUAUUUAUACUUUCUUAACUUCUAAUUAUUUUAUUUAUAUUAGUUCACUUAAAUAACUAUGAAAUUUACUAAAUCUAAUAAUAAUUCAGUCAAUAAUUUAAUUUCUUAAUUUUUAGUAAAUAUAAUUAUUAUAAUUGAUGACUAUUAGUUGACAGAUCUAUUAAAUUUAAUAUAAUCUUUUAUUUAAUUAAAUAAAAAUACUAUCUAAAAUAAUUAGAAGUUGCGAAGAUACUAAACAGAAAAAAUAAAUAAAAAUAAAUUCAGAGAGCACUAUGUUAGCGCCAAGAACUUUUUUAAAAGAUAGGAUUUUGAGAUUAUUAGCUAAAGUAUAUUCUUUAAAUUCUUUAUACGUAAGCACUACAACAAAACCGGUGUAUAGCGACAUUUUUAAAUGUCGGUACAGGUCAAAAAAAAGUGUUGCUGACUAAAUUGCCGACACUUUUUAAAAGUGUUGCUAUAUGUGGGGUCGCUAUAGGUAGGGCCGUCUUAAUAUUUGGCACUUACUCUUCUAGCGACCUGUGGCGAAGGGAUACGUGACGAUCGUAGCUCUCUACGGUCCCUGCGAAAUUCUCGCGGCCAAACUCCAGCCGCCGGAACCCUAUCUUGUCGGCGACGGUGGCGAAGGAGGAGAAGAGAAGACGGUGAUCAAUUUUUUUUUCCUUUUUUAUUUGUUAUUGGGCCGAAUGAGCUGGAUGUGGUUGGGUAGAGGAACUUUUUAUUUUUGAUUAGAUUUGACUUUAUAUUUAGGCCUUAUUAGAUUUUUUUUUAAAAAAACAAAUGGCAUAAAUAGAACACUUAUAUAAAAAUGUCCCAAAGAUGUGUCCUAUAACCCAAAGGGACUAUUAUGCAUAUUAUGAAUAGUCGGGGGGCCAUGGUCACCCUCAAUCUCCCCAUAGCUCCACCCCUGUCAUAAGGUAUAUAAAUGUAUAUCUUUUAAAUUAAAAAUUAUAUCUCUAAAUUAAAAGUAUGAGAUAGACGAAGGAAUGAUAUGAAUUUACGAUGCAAGAACAAGCAGAUGAACUAGACUAAGCGCAAGCAAUUAUUUUUUGUCCGAAUCUUUUUUAAUCCAAGAUUCAGACUAAAAAUGAAAUAUUUUUAAAAUCUUAGAAACUAAAUUGAAAUCAAACAAAGAGUUUAGGGUCAGAAAUGCUGAAGAGAUCAAAAGUUUAAGGGCAAAAACAAUAAAUUGCGUCAAAGUUGGGGGACUAGCUAGUAUCAGCAUACAAUUUACGCUGUUUUUAAAGAGAAAUGCUUGGGCAUCUCAUGUUUUGAUAUCUCAUUAUAUUACUGAUGUGUUGACAUACACAUAUGGAUGGAUUAAGAUUUAGAAUUUAGGAGUUAAUGAUUAUGUACAUUUAGAGCAGUGUAAUGAUGAUAUAAUCAUAUUGUAUAGAACUACUAAUGCUUUAGAAGCAUAAUGGAGUUGGUAUUUUCAACUUUUUGGUCUUUAGAUUAAUGAUUGUAGGAUCGAAAUGAUAAUGGUCACUCUUAAAAUUGAGUGGUCUCUCUAGGGUUGAGUAACUUUUCUAGAAUAAUAAUAAUAAUCGAAAGGUCAAAAAUGGUUAAAUGGAUUGAUUCAAGGACAAAAAAUUUAAAAAUAUCAACUAUCUUAUACUUUUGAAAGUAGAGUAGCUCUAUUCUUAUCAUAUCAUCAAAUGUAUGUAGGCUGUACCCGAGAGCAUGAAUUUAAAUGUCAUGGUACGGAAUCGUGCCGAAAACUUACCGGCAUGAUACGGUCGUACCGAUGCGUGCCGGUCACAAAAAAUACAUAUGUGCCAAUAUAUAAUGGCAUGAAAUAUUUAUUUUUUUAACAGCAACAAAAUAUUCUAAUGAUUUACUAUGUAUUGAUCUUUAUUAAUUUUUUUGAAUUUUAUUAAAAAAAUUAUUUACUAAUUUAAAAAAUAAAAAAUUUGUGGCUAUAUCACGAUCACAAAAAUUAUAUCAUAUCAAUAUUUAAUUGAUACGAUAUGACAUGACAGAUUCAAUCAGUUUCAAUGGACAUUUAAAUCCUUGCUCCAGCAGCUCCACCAGGGUGGUAGGAGAUAACACUGAGUUUUAAAUGGUUGUUUUAGCAUCGAUUCUAGAAAUGCGGUUUGGGGUUUGAAUGUAUAUUGGUUGUUGGGUGCGUGCAUUAACUUCUCCUCCUCUUUGGAACACCAAAAUGUGUACCAAGUUUAUACGUACGUUGUUUUGAAAGCCCCCAUGAAAACGUUUUAAUUUCCACGUACAUUUUCUUUUCAAAACACACGUAGAAGUGUCAGAGGGACAGCGCCCGCCAUUAACGGGUCCGUACCUGCGCUCCCACGCGGCAACUGUACCAUCCAUUCCCAAAUUUUGUACUACUAGUAGUAUUUUUUGCUUGUGAAUUAAUUUUAGUUGUACUCCGCAGAUUUGAAUUCGAAUAUAAAUUUUUUUGGGGCAAUUAUUUAUAUAUUUUUUAAAAAUUUUUGAUUUUUUAAUUUAUGUUUUUAAAAAAGUUAAUAUUAAAAAUAUCUUUUUUACGUUCCAACCUAUUUCUAAUAUACCCCUAGAGUUAAAAUCUGUUAAUUAACUCUGUUAACUCUGUAAAAUUACUAUUUUGUACUUUCAAAUAUACCCUUUCACCAUCACUGACUUUCUUAUUUGCCCUUAAAGUCAGGGGUACAAAAAAUAUUUUGAGUUUUGAUCUUUUUCAAUAUACCCCUCUACCGUCACCAACAUUUCUUAUUUGCCACUAAGUUAAUGGCAAAUUUGGUAUUUUAUUUUUUUUUAACUGUGGUAGAUGUUUAACUCACAUUUAACCCAAGUUAACUUAACAGGAGAUAACUGCGGGGAUAUUUUGCAAUAACGGUGGAACAUAUGAAGGGUAUUUUAGAAAGAAAAAAAAUAUGGGUAAAUUAGAUAUUUUCAAAAAUAUGCGGGGUAUAUAGGCAAUUAUCCCAAUUUUAUUUGUAUCUGGUUCGAAUCCGACUCAAAAUCAAAUUAAUUUUAUAUUAUUAUAUAUAUAUAGAGAGAGAGAGAGAGAGAGAGUAGGACUAUUAUAUUAUUAGGAGCGCAAACAAUUUGUGUACUUCUAAGUUUCUAACUAUUUAUUAAUUUUAAUGAAUGAUUAGAGUGAGAGAGAUAAUAGAAAUUGGGUUUCUCAAUUUCUUUUUAUUUUUGAAUUUUUUUUAGUUUCUCUUUUUUCUCUCGCCCUGACCAUUCAUCAACUUAGGAGCACAAAUAUUUAAUUGAGUUUUUAUGCUUUUAAAAGUAUCGAGUCAUUGAUACUUGUAACUUUUCGAUCUUUUAGAUUAAAAAAUAUGCAGUUGUGAUGGUAGUGAUUCUCUAAGAUAGAGUAGGCGGUUGGUUGAAUAGUAUAAUAUGAACUGAUGGACGAAAAUAGUUAAAAAUUUAAAAUGUAUAAUUUUGAAAUGUCAUUAUAUAUAUGUAAUAAAUUAGAUGCUAGUUUAAAUUUUUUUAAGUCCUUUAUAAUUGUGGGUAUUAGGUGACGUAGUACUCUCUCUUAACUCUUUCUUUUAAAGAAAACCACUCAUACCACUCCCCACCCCCUACCAUUCUACAAUUCAAAAAGUCAAUUACUCUAUCAAUCUCUCUCUCUCUCUCUCUCUCUCUAAGUUUUUUCCAAUCAUGUAGAACUAAAACUACAGGCAAAGGCAAUGAAAAAAGUAGAAGAGAAAAGAGCGAUUCCGCAACGCCUUCUCUUCCUUCACCUGGUGGUGAUCAUCUUUUCCAUAUGGGCCCUCUUCCACUCCGCACCUGUAGGGGCAAUCUCGUUAUUUCGCCCAAAAGAGAGGGCAAAUUCCGAAGCGGUGCAGCUCUUCACCGGUAUCCGUUCCGGCCGCACGGCGGCCGAAGGCAGAGCUGUUGCCGCCGCCAUCGUCGACGUCGACGUCGACGUCGACAGUAAGCGCCAGGUGCCCUGCAGCCCUGAUCCACUCCACAACUAACAGGUAAUAAUUAUAUAUUAAGACGAUAUAUUUUUGGUAAAAAUGUAUAGAGACCCUUUCCAACUCAUACACUUCUAUAUAUAAUAGGUUAUUUUGAAAUAAACCCCUCAGGAAAGUUUUUUUUGAUUGAUUGGUACCUUCUUAAUUAGGCUUGAUUUGGAUCUUUACCUUUUAAGCUUCUUAUGUCAGUUAAAGCGGUGAUAUUAUCGAAAACAAAAAUGAUUUUGUUAUAAUGUGACUGCUCAGAUAAAAAAAGUAUAUAGAAAUAUAUAUAUAUAUAUAUAUAUAUUUUUAAUAACACUAUGCUGAAAGGAAUAUGUUUUGCGAAACUAAACAGAAUCUAUAUUUUUCUAGCAGUCACAAAUGAAGCUUUGGAGUAGUUGGUUGUUCAUUACGAGCGAGAUUAUGUAUUGAAGAGGUCAGAGAUUCGAAAACUAAAAAAAAAAAAAAAAAAAUUAAAUAGGUUUGUUAAGUUCAGUUCUUCUAAAUACUUUUUUAGCUGAUGGAAUUGCGAAUCUGUAAUACAAAUUUAAAAUUAUAACUUAAAUCAAAAUCAAAAGUUGUGGGCUAUAUAACUUCCAAUCAAGAGGAUAAAUGUGGGGUGUAUUUUAAAAUGACCAUAGUUGAGGGGUCUCCAUACAUUUUCACCAAUAAACUUUUUGUUGUGUGUGCUUAUUUUUCUUGUGUACAGUGGAAAUUUAAGGGUGAGCUGGGUUUGAAUUGCAUUAUAUUAAUGGAAUAUCCUGCUUAAAUUUGUUUAUUUGUAAUUUUGUACCCUAAUUAAUGGAAUCUCCUUGUGUUAAGAAUCCGCAGAUGAGAAAUAUAUAAAACAAAAUUGAAUGGUAUGGAUUUUUUUUUUUUUUUUCUCAAGUUGCAUUUGAAUCUUCCACUCACUUCUUGGCUCAAUUUUCUUUUAUCUUGUUACACAAAAACCAUCUGAGAGCAAAAAUAAGGUGCUGCGAAAAUAAAGCGAUGUUUGGUGCAUGUGUUGAUAUAUAUUUAUGAGCAUGUUUUUUACUAAAUCUAUCUUUUGUGUAGCACAUUAUCAGAGCUAAUUCUAAACAUUUUCAUUCUGUGAGAUCAUGGAUUCAAUUCCCACGUUUGAUUAUAUAAUGAGUUAAAUCUUCAUCUCUUGCUUUAUUUAUCAAUUCCACAUGUCUUUUAUAUCUAUUAUACUCACAAGUGGGAGGUGUUAUACAGAUAUUACUAUAUUACAGAUUUAAAAGAUUAGUGCAUUUGAGUCAAAUUAUGACAACUAGAACUAUACGAGGAGGUGCAACUGCUGCAUUUAAAACUAUACAUCCAAAUGGCUACAUUCCUAUCUGCAGCUAUUUGCAAAGAAUUGAAUCUUCCAAAUGAAAAAAAAAAAAAAAAAAAAAAAAAAAAAAAACAUCUUCAAGCUAUGUACUAAGCCGAAGAAAUAUAGCUGCAACAUUUGCAAGGUGCGUUUGGUUCUACGUAUAAGUGGAAAAAAAAAAAUGUAUAUAUUAUAUAUAUAAUUUUAUGGGUUAUUUACAUACACGUCCCUACAAAUAUAAUGAAUUAUAGAAAUAUCUCUGCAAAACAGAAAUUCCAUAAGUUGUCCCUGCAAAAGUCCUAAUUUAUGCAGAUAUAUCCCUGUCGUUAAGGUCUGUUAGAAAAUUUCAUUAAUCACAGUUAAAAUACUUAACCAUGGUUAAUUAUAAUGUGAAUUGACGGAUUUACCCUUCUUCCUCUUCCUCCUCUUCCUCUUCCCUCUUCUUCGUCGCCGGCGAGGGAGGAGAUGCAGCGGCGGCGACGGCGAACCCUCUUCCUCUUCCUCUUCCCUCUUCUUCGUCACCGGCGAGGGAGAAGAUGCAGCGGCGGUGGCGAACCCUCUCCCUUUUCCUCUUCCUCUCCCUCUUCCUCUUCGCCCUUCUUCUUCCUCUCCCUCUUUCUUUUCCCUCUUCUUCGUCGCCGGCGAGGGAGGAGAUGCGGCGGCGGCGGCAACAAACCCUCUCCCUCUUCCUCUUCCUCUUCCUCUUCCUCUUCCCUUCCUCUCCCUCUUCCUCUUCCCUCUUCUUCUUCCUCUCCUUCUUUCUCUUCCCUUUUCUUCAUCGCCGGCGAACCCGACCCCGCGCCACCGCCGCCGCCCGCUCCGACGGCCCGAAGAGGGAAAGACAGAGAAGGAGAAGAGGAAUACUUUUGGAGGGAUAUAUUUGUGAGGGCAAAAAGGUUAUUUCACGAAUCCACUGUUAAAAAAUAAACAUGUCACUAACGGAUGUUAACCAGAGGGACAUAUCUGUAUAACUUAGGACUUUUGCAGGAACAACUUAUGAAAUUUUCGUUUUGCAGGAAUAUAUCUGCAAUUCACUAUAUAUGUAGGGACGUGUAUACAAAUAAACCUAAUUUUAUUUAUAAAUAUAUUUAUUUAUUUAUUAUAUAUAGUAAACGAUGUAAAACUUUUUUUCCACCGAAAAUUUUUUUCCACCGAAAUUUUUUUUUUCCACAGCUUUACGUGGAACCAAACACACCCUAAACAAAACCACACAAAUAGCAAAACGGGAGGAACUUUAUUAAUUUUCACAACUGUACAAACAAACAGCAAAAAAAAAAAAAAAAAAAAAAAAUUUACCUGAACUCUGAUCCAUUCAAAAGUCUACUUUAAUCUGAAUUACACCUU
rnacentral:lncRNA from 1 species